AGCUGUUUGUGAUGUAAAACAAAACAAUGGGAAUCUCCCUGAAUUUGAUUGAGGACACCAUGGCACUGAAACAGCA
rnacentral:snoRNA from 1 species